GACGAGGUGUAGUAACUUGCUUCUUCUUCCUUUUACUUUUCCUACUUUCUUCGUAUUCGAUAUACUUAUCUUCCUUUCUGUUUACUGUUGUGAGAUCUCCUUCACUUGGUAUCUUAAAGUUUGAAUAUAAUCGAGGUGAUGUUAGAUAUUAUGAGAAAGCUUCUUCAUUAAAAAACAAGGAAACAGCAUUUAAACUAACUGUACCAACAAAACAGAAUAACCAAGCCAUGUUUCUUUUAGAUUUUUUUCAUGAAGCAGAACAUAACAGAAAAC
rnacentral:lncRNA from 1 species